CAGCAGCCGCGGGAACACCAGCACCUCGAGUGGUCAGGAGGUUUAUUGGGCCUAAAGCAUCCGUAGCCGGUUGCAUAAGUUUUCGGUUAAAUCUAUGCGCUUAACGUAUAGGCCGCCGAAAAUACUGUGCAGCUAGGGAGUGGGAGAGGUACACGGUACUCGAUAGGAAGGGGUAAAAUCCUUUGAUCUAUUGAUGACCACCUGUGGCGAAGGCGGUGUACCAGAACACGUUCGACGGUGAGGGAUGAAAGCUGGGGGAGCAAACCGGACUAGAUACCCCUGUAGUCCCUGUCUCUUAUAA
rnacentral:rRNA from 1 species